rnacentral:rRNA from 1 species
UACGUAGGGGGCAAGCGUUGUCCGGAAUCAUUGGGCGUAAAGCGCGUGUAGGCGGCUCGAUAAGUCUGCUGUGAAAGUUCAGGGCUCAACCCUGAAAUGCCGGUGGAAACUGUCGGGCUAGAGUCUGGAAGAGGCGAGUGGAAUUCCUGGUGUAGCGGUGAAAUGCGCAGAUAUCAGGAGGAACACCAAUGGCGAAGGCAGCUCGCUGGGACGGUACUGACGCUGAGACGCGAAAGCGUGGGGAGCAAACAGG